rnacentral:rRNA from 1 species
GACGAACGCUGGCGGCGUGCCUAAUACAUGCAAGUCGAGCGAGUGAAACAACAUGAUCCCUUCGGGGUGAUUGUUGUGGAUCUAGCGGCGGACGGGUGAGUAACACGUGGGUAACCUACCUGAGAGAUCGGGAUAACCCCGGGAAACCGGGGCUAAUACCGAAUAAUCGUUGGAACUGCAUGGUUCCAGCGUAAAAGGCGGCUUUUGCCGUCACUUUCAGAUGGACCCGCGGCGCAUUAGCUAGUUGGUAAGGUAACGGCUUACCAAGGCAACGAUGCGUAGCCGACCUGAGAGGGUGAUCGGCCACACUGGGACUGAGACACGGCCCAGACUCCUACGGGAGGCAGCAGUAGGGAAUCUUCCGCAAUGGACGAAAGUCUGACGGAGCAACGCCGCGUGAACGAUGAAGGUCUUCGGAUCGUAAAGUUCUGUUGUUAGGGAAGAACAAGUACCAGAGGAAAUGCUGGUACCUUGACGGUACCUAACCAGAAAGCCACGGCUAACUACGUGCCAGCAGCCGCGGUAAUACGUAGGUGGCAAGCGUUGUCCGGAAUUAUUAGGCGUAAAGCGCGCGCAGGCGGUUCCUUAAGUCUGAUGUGAAAGCCCACAGCUCAACUGCGGAGGGCCAUUGGAAACUGGGGAACUUGAGUACAGAAGAGGAGAGCGGAAUUCCACGUGUAGCGGUGAAAUGCGUAGAUAUGUGGAGGAACACCAGUGGCGAAGGCGGCUCUCUGGUCUGUAACUGACGCUGAGGCGCGAAAGCGUGGGUAGCAAACAGGAUUAGAUACCCUGGUAGUCCACGCCGUAAACGUUGAGUGCUAAGUGUUAGGGGGUUUCCGCCCCUUAGUGCUGAAGUUAACGCAUUA